CAAUGCGGAUUGUGAAGGAUGGUGUAGAAGGAUAUAUGUCAGACAUGGAUAGUUAAAGAAAAAUGAAGACUCGGAGCAAUAUAGAUAUAUGUCAAACAUGGAUAGUUGAAGAAAAAUGAAGACUCAGAGCAACAUAGGAUGGUUUCAAAACUCAAAACCAUUGAUGGAGCUUUUGUUCUUGUUAAGAGGUUGGGAAAUGGUGGAAUUCAAUACGGAUAGAAGGAUGAUGUAGAAUACUUUUGCCUUUCAGAUUACAUCGGGGAAUCAGCUCGGAGCAAGAAGAUGGAAAACAUUCGGUAAGAAUCUGAUGCCUUGGAAAACCCAAUGGUUCCUCUACACUUUUAAUGAUGGAAUACACAUAUAUAUUUAAUAACUAGUCUUCUAGGGUAGGCUAAAUGUUCAAAAUAGGACCGAAUUUUUUAUGAAUCGCUUGGAUAAGGAUUAAACCUUUCAAAACAAUCAAAUAAGGGCUUCUCAAAUAUCGCUUAUCAAGUCUCAAUUUAUGUUUUUAUUUAUCUUUCUUUUCUUUUCAAAUAACUGCCAUUUGUUUUAUUCUAAACAAAUCAUCAUUUGCCUAAUUUUAUACUACAAACUGGUUGAAGCGUGUGAAAAGCUCUUAUUUGAGUAUUCUCGAAAAGUUUAGCUUUUAUCCUCUCUUUUUGAACAUUUAGCCUCUAAUAGUAUCUAAAUAGGGGGAAUCUAGAAAUUUUUCAGAAGGGGUCGAAAUUUACUGAUAAUCUUUUUAGAGAUUAAAUUAUAAUUUUAUCAUGUAUUAGUUUAUGAUUUUCUCAUUUUUGAAAGGACUAAAUAAAAAAAAAUUGGGGGAGGGAUUUUAAUUUAUCAUAUAUAAAUUUAUAAUUUAAUUAUUUAAGGGCUGAACUAUAAUUUUGUGUUUUUGAAUAGUCAGGACCCUUGCCUGUCCCAUUGUAUUUGCCCUUACAUGUAAAUGAAAAAUUUAAUUAUUUUUAAUAAGGGGAGGGGGAGGGUGUUCAUGGAUGGAAUUUAGGAUUUGAUAUCAACUACUUUCUUAUUGCUAUUAAUAAGUUUGGUUUAAAAUUUUAAUGUGAUAAAA